AUGUACAUCAAUGUGAGAGUGGAAGACACAAACAGCUUGGUAUGGGAGACCUACGGGCAUAUUCGAAACUUACAUUAUAAGGGCAAACACCCCUGGGUAGUCUUGGGCGAUUUUAAUGAAAUUUUACUUUCUUCUGAAAACGAGGGCGCUAACGCCAGACCUAAAGCUAUGAUGAGAGAUUUUUCUAAUUGUUUGCAAGAGUGCGAUCUAGAGGAUAUGGGAUGUAUUGGUGAUCUCUUCACUUGGAGGAGAGGCGAAAUUAGGGAGAGACUUGACCAUGCAGUUUGCAAUGUGGACUGUGCGAAUAAAUUUCCUCGGGCUGCGAUCAUAAAUGAAGGACACGUACACUCUGAUCAUCGACCCAUCAUCCUAGAUACAGAUUACUUUAAUGUGUAUAUGUUUAAUCGCCCAAGGGGUCGAGCAAAACAUUUUGAAGCUCAAUGGCUCAAAGAAGAGACAGUUGUAGAAAUUUUACGUACAGCAUGGAAUAAAGCAAAGAUGAUGGGUAUUGGGCCGUCUCUCCCUGAGCGUACACGGGCGGUGAUGGCGGGUCUGCAUAUUUGGGAUCGUGAUAUUCUAAAGGGACCGAAAAAAGAAUUAACAAACUAA
rnacentral:rRNA from 1 species